rnacentral:lncRNA from 1 species
GACUGUCUGUGGAUUUCUCUCCUCUCUCUGUCUCGCACACAUUUUAUUUGAAAGCAUUGAAUAAGUAGCUCAGGCUCUCGCUCAGACUUAAGGGGCUGAUGAACUACGCCCCCGCCGCAACCAGCUUUCUCUGCACCCCAAUCCAGCCCCGCUCCAGACGACGGGCUUAGAUUCUGCUAUCACGUAGGCAGUGAGCCUGGGGAAGAUGCGAUGCCUCCCUUGAAACCAUCAAGACAGAUAUCCGCUGGUUUUAGGGUGUCCCCCAAGGCAAGCAUCUGGGACGCCUCCGGCAUAUGCUCGCCCUCGGGGCCCGACCAGGAGGCUCCAGCUUUGCAAGGCGCCACCGCCCAGAGCUCAGGUCUGGGUUGGAAGGGUGGGCGGCACCGCCUCAGGGUACGUUCUCCCGACUUCGGAGAGAAAGAAAGGAAGAAAUGCACCCUAGGAAAAGGGGCUUCGACUUUUUGUGCCUGUGCUUUCAUGGAAGUCACCAGCUCUCGGCUGCUUAAGAUGCUACUCAGAAGCGCGCCCAGCCAGGCUGUGGCCAUCCGCGCCAAGUCCUCGUGUCCUGGUCGACGAGCACUUUGGGUAGCACCGCGACACACAAUAGCCACCACGGUUAGGAGAUAUGCUCGCUAUGCUUACCUGUUGGCAAAAAUAAAAUGCAAAAUAAAAAUUUAAAUUUGGAAACUAACACAUGGUGACAUCUUCUAGAACCACA